rnacentral:rRNA from 1 species
AUUGAACGCUGGCGGCAUGCCUUACACAUGCAAGUCGAACGGUAACAGGUCUUCGGAUGCUGACGAGUGGCGAACGGGUGAGUAAUACAUCGGAACGUGCCUAGUAGUGGGGGAUAACUACUCGAAAGAGUGGCUAACACCGCAUGAGAUCUACGGAUGAAAGCAGGGGAUCGCAAGACCUUGUGCUACUAGAGCGGCCGAUGGCAGAUUAGGUAGUUGGUGGGAUAAAAGCUUACCAAGCCGACGAUCUGUAGCUGGUCUGAGGGGACGAUCAGCCACAGGGGGACUGAGAAACGGCCCAGAAUCCUACGGGAGGCAGCAGUGGGGAAUUUUGGACAAUGGGCGCAAGCCUGAUCCAGCAAUGCCGCGUGCAGGAUGAAGGCCUUCGGGUUGUAAACUGCUUUUGUACGGAACGAAAAGCCCCGGGUUAAUACCCUGGGGUCAUGACGGUACCGUAAGAAUAAGCACCGGCUAACUACGUGCCAGCCGCCGCGGUAA